rnacentral:rRNA from 1 species
CGCAAUGGGCGAAAGCCUGACGCAGCAACGCCGCGUGAGGGAUGAAGGCCUUCGGGUUGUAAACCUCUUUUGUCAGGGACGAUGAUGACGGUACCUGGCGAAUAAGUCACGGCUAACUACGUGCCAGCAGCCGCGGUAAUACGUAGGUGACAAGCGUUGUCCGGAUUUACUGGGCGUAAAGAGCGCGCAGGCGGUCGUUCAAGUCGAGUGUGAAAGCCCCCGGCUCAACUGGGGAGGGUCACUCGAUACUGAUCGACUCGAAGGCAGGAGAGGGAAGCGGAAUUCCCGGUGUAGUGGUGAAAUGCGUAGAUAUCGGGAGGAACACCAGUGGCGAAGGCGGCUUCCUGGCCUGUUCUUGACGCUGAGGCGCGAAAGCUA